CUAGGAUAAAGCCUCACAUUCGGUCUGGAGUUUGUGGACAAAGCUAAAGAGAAAACAAACACUCCGGGAAGCAUCUGUGUCUAUGCAGACUCAAGACAGAAUCCCAGUCUCCUGUCCUUGGUGAACAGCCCCUUUAUCGUAGCAGGGCCUGUUCUGGAGAUGAGAGAACAAAUAGAAAUCAUAUAGAACUUGAAGUGGAGGAGGAGAAGACAAGGCUACUGGAGCGUGGACACCAGAGUUGGGUAAACUCUCCCAGAUAACAGGCCAUGAAAGAAAGGAGAACUCCAGGAAGCACUUUCAUUGUCAACCGGAGCUCUUCUUUCUUUUUCCUCUUCUUUUUCAUUUCUACACCUGUCUGAUACACUCAAGAGCCAAACUCAGUCACAAAGAAAAUUGUGUUACUAUUAGUUUGCCCUUGUCUGUUUGCAUACAUGUGAAAACGUGGGGAAAUCUACAAAUCGCUUGGCAAAGGCCUUUAACAAGUUUACAUGGCUUCCAUGAGCUUGAUUUUUUUCCCCAUAUGGUUGAUGGUCAAGGGCACUGCUCCCUCGAUCAUAAAGUCAUGUUGCUUGUUUUAAGAGACCAGACACAAGACUGUCCCACCCUACUGCAAAUAAGGUCUCCAGAUUAUCAUCUCAUCUCUUGGACUGUGUUAGAGAACUGGGCUUCCAGAUAUAUGUAA
rnacentral:lncRNA from 1 species